GGUUCUGUGGUGUAAUGGUUAUCAUAUCUGCUUUAUGCGCAGAAUGUAGCGAAUUCGAAUGUCGCCAAAACCU
rnacentral:tRNA from 1 species